rnacentral:rRNA from 1 species
AAAUUGAAGAGUUUGAUCAUGGCUCAGAUUGAACGCUGGCGGCAGGCCUAACACAUGCAAGUCGAACGGUAACAGGAAGCAGCUUGCUGCUUCGCUGACGAGUGGCGGACGGGUGAGUAAUGUCUGGGAAGCUGCCUGAUGGAGGGGGAUAACUACUGGAAACGGUGGCUAAUACCGCAUAACGUCGCAAGACCAAAGAGGGGGACCUUCGGGCCUCUUGCCAUCAGAUGUGCCCAGAUGGGAUUAGCUAGUUGGUGAGGUAACGGCUCACCAAGGCGACGAUCCCUAGCUGGUCUGAGAGGAUGACCAGCCACACUGGAACUGAGACACGGUCCAGACUCCUACGGGAGGCAGCAGUGGGGAAUAUUGCACAAUGGGCGCAAGCCUGAUGCAGCCAUGCCGCGUGUAUGAAGCAGGCCUUCGGGUUGUAAAGUACUUUCAGCGGGGAGGAAGGUGUUGUGGUUAAUAACCACAGCAAUUGACGUUACCCGCAGAA